GUUUGUUUCCUGUUUCAUUCUUCUUCAACAGCUUUUCAACAACCUCUUCCCAGGUUGAUCUUCCACCACUUGUUUUUGAUUCAGUACUUGAGGCGGUGGCUUCUUUGUCCCCACUAUUACCAGAUGCUUCUUCACCUUCAUUGUUUUCAGACGGUUCAUUCUCUGCGGCGUCCACUGCAUGAGUAACAAGAAGACUCCAACUUCGAGGAUUGUUGUGUAAAAGCGGCAAAUGGACAAGACAAUAUGCUCAAAUCUUCCAUCAACAGGAAUAGCCGUCCUCACUUCAGGAGGAAACCUCCCACAUCUGUUGUGUUCAACAAGCAACAAGGAACUUCAAUAUUAGGAAAUAACAAGUCACUUGAUGUAGUAGUUCAAGAUGGGAUUUAGCAAUGGAUAUCACUUUUAGUCAUACUAAAUGAACUAUUCCUAAGGCUACUAAUAAUAUUGUUCUUUUAUGUGA